CUGCCGCCGUGCGUAAAGACUGCAACACCACCAGCGACACGAGCCCAGAGAGGCUGACAGGAUGGAGCGGAGGUGAGCUGCUGAGCGGAGCAAACACGAUCCAAGCGCGGUGGGUAGAGUUUAAGGAUGCUUUAGGUACGGGACGAGAGAAGUUGUCCCCCCUCACACGCCUGAAGCCAUGCGUCGGUGACCAGUAUGCUGCUGGAGUAUGAGGCAGGAGCAGACAUGCGACUGGUCCGUCAGAUCAACAAAGGUAUGAAGAUCCAGGCCGGGGGAGAGAACAUGGGCUGCAGCAAGGUCGGAGAAAACCCGGAGAACCAGGUCAUCUGUUUGCAGUGUCAAGACGAGGUGGUGCGGGUUUGCCCGGGGAGUCCGCGCAGUCCCCGCCGCGCCAUCGCGACGCGCCUCUCCUCCGGAUCCGCAGAUCGUGAGUCCAGCAGUAGCAGCUACAAUGUUUCUUCCGGAACCUUCUACAGCUGCGUCAGUCAGAUCACCAUCGCAGAUCGAGGGGAAUCCACUCUAACUUACAGUUCAGCUACAGAGGAUAACUCAACAGACAUUGCUGGUGUCCUGGUAAUGAUCCUCGGAGCAGUACAGACUCCAGGACUGGUCUGUGUAGCCAAACCCACUGAGGUGAGAGCCCGCCCUCUGACGGAUCCCCCUCACAGCAACACCGACAUCCACCCAGCGUCCUCGCCACUCCAACUCCCAAUAGUGGCGUUGGGUGAGGCCCUGGUGACACAGCACCUGGGAAAUGCAACAUGUACGCACAAUAAAACUUGA
rnacentral:lncRNA from 1 species